AUGAACGCUAGCGGCAGGCCUAAUACAUGCAAGUCGGACGGGAUAGGAGAGCUUGCUUUCCUUGAGAGUGGCGCACGGGUGCGUAACACGUAUGUAACCUACCUUGUUCAGGGGGAUAGCCUCUCGAAAGAGAGAUUAAGACCGCAUAACAUUAAGUUGUGGCAUCGCAAUUUAAUCAAAUAUUUAUAGGAACAAGAUGGGCAUGCGGAACAUUAGCUAGUUGGUAAGGUAACGGCUUACCAAGGCUACGAUGUUUAGGGGAUCUGAGAGGAUUACCCCCCACACUGGUACUGAGACACGGACCAGACUCCUACGGGAGGCAGCAGUAAGGAAUAUUGGUCAAUGGACGGAAGUCUGAACCAGCCAUGCCGCGUGCAGGAAGACGGCCCUAUGGGUUGUAAACUGCUUUUGUACGGGAAUAAACCUUCGGUCGUGACCGAAGCUGAAUGUACUGUAAGAAUAAGGAUCGGCUAACUCCGUGCCAGCAGCCGCGGUAAUACGGAGGAUCCAAGCGUUUAUCCGGAUUUAUUGGGUUUAAAGGGUGCGUAGGUGGCUUUUUUAAGUCAGGGGUGAAAGACGGCAGCUUAACUGUCGCAGUGCCUUUGAUACUGAAGAGCUUGAAUGAACUAGAGGUAGGCGGAAUGUGACAAGUAGCGGUGAAAUGCAUAGAUAUGUCACAGAACACCAAUUGCGAAGGCAGCUUACUAUGGUUUGAUUGACACUGAGGCACGAAAGCGUGGGGAUCAAACAGGAUUAGAUACCCUGGUAGUCCACGCCCUAAACGAUGAAUACUCGAUGUUGGCGAUAUACGGUCAGCGUCUAAGCGAAAGCGUUAAGUAUUCCACCUGGGGAGUACGCCCGCAAGGGUGAAACUCAAAGGAAUUGACGGGGGCCGCACAAGCGGAGGAGCAUGUGGUUUAAUUCGAUGAUACGCGAGGAACCUUACCCGGGCUUGAAAGUUAGUGAAUGUGACAGAGACGUCACAGUCCUUCGGGACACGAAACUAGGUGCUGCAUGGCUGUCGUCAGCUCGUGCCGUGAGGUGUUGGGUUAAGUCCGCAACGAGCGCAACCCCUAUGUUUAGUUGCCAGCAUGUAAUGAUGGGGACUCUAAACAGACUGCCUAUGCAAAUAGAGAGGAAGGAGGGGACGACGUCAAGUCAUCAUGGCCCUUACGUCCGGGGCUACACACGUGCUACAAUGGGCAGUACAGAGGGCAGCUACCUGGUAACAGGAUGCCAAUCUCCAAAAGCUGUUCACAGUUCGGAUCGGGGUCUGCAACUCGACCCCGUGAAGUUGGAUUCGCUAGUAAUCGCGUAUCAGCAAUGACGCGGUGAAUACGUUCCCGGGCCUUGUACACACCGCCCGUCAAGCCAUGGAAGCUGGAAGUGCCUGAAGUGCGUAACCGCAAGGAGCGUCCUAGGGUAAAGUCGGUAACUGGGGCU
rnacentral:rRNA from 1 species